rnacentral:rRNA from 1 species
GACGUAGGGCGCGAGCGUUGUCCGGAUUUAUUGGGCGUAAAGAGCUCGUAGGCGGCUCGUUGCGUCGGCUGUGAAAACCCGCAGCUCAAUUGUGGGCGUGCGGGCGAUACGGGCAGACUGGAGUACUGCAGGGGAGACUGGAAUUCCUGGUGUAGCGGUGGAAUGCGCAGAUAUCAGGAGGAACACCGGUGGCGAAGGCAGGUCUCUGGGCCACUACUGACGCUGAGAAGCGAAAGCAUGGGGAGCGAACAGG